AUACGGAGGAUCCGAGCGUUAUCCGGAUUUAUUGGGUUUAAAGGGUGCGCAGGCGGCCAUUUAAGUCAGCGGUUAAAUCGUGGGGCUCAACCCCAUUCUGCCGUUGAUACUGGGUGGCUUGAUUGCGGUCGAGGUUGGCGGAAUUAGUUGUGUAGCGGUGAAAUGCAUAGAUAUGACGAAGAACACCGAUUGCGUAGGCAGCUGACCAGACCGCAAAUGACGCUCAUGCACGAAAGUGCGGGGAUCGAACAGGAUUAGAUACCCUGGUAGUCCGCACAGUAAACGAUGAAUACUUGUUUUCGGCGAUAUAAUGUCGGAGGCAAAGCGAAAGCGAUAAGUAUUCCACCUGGGGAGUACGCCGGCAACGGUGAAACUCAAAGGAAUUGGCGGGG
rnacentral:rRNA from 1 species